UUUUCAGAUUCAGAUGGAUUAAAUCUGUGCCAGAGGGCCCCAUCCCGGGUGAGGGGAUUCCCCCAAGCAGGUGAGGCACUACUUGUUUCUGUAGAGGAAGCAUAAAUGGUGGCUGUUACAGCAUUGUUCUUUGUCUCUCUUUUUAGGAAGUUAAAGCCGAGAGCAGCAGUCAAGGCCAAGUGGGCGAGGUGGUCCGCUUGCAAUCUAUCCUAGCCGAGCAUAUCCGUGCCAGGUGCUGUUGCUGCCCUAGGUACGCCAAGGAACAGAGGAGGGCAGGUAUCUUCUGGCCAGCCUCCGGAGUCAAAUCAAGAUUUGAGGUACCCUGAGGAGGCUCUUACCCAAAGCUUAGAAACGGCAACACCGAAGCACACGCGGAGAACAUAUCAACGUCCACGUGCGACCGAGGAUGGAUUUUGUCCGCUCCUCUUCCAAAAGCUAAGUGUCGGGGCCAGCGGUCGGGAGAAGGGGAAAAACCUUUACUAUCACAGGGGGCAAUUUCACGUCAGCUUAGCGGAGAGGUCUGUAGCGGGACAGGCUCUCUGGAAGUAAAGGGAGAGGGUUUCUCCUCAGCCUCACCAGAGCCUUUGCCGGGCAGGGCAGUUCCAACCCAUCUCCACGUUCUCGGGAACUUUGCGUCGUCCGCCUUCCUCGACUCGACGUCGUCACGG